rnacentral:rRNA from 1 species
CCUACGGGUGGCAGCAGUGAGGAAUAUUGGUCAAUGGGCGCGAGCCUGACCCAGCCAAGUAGCGUGAAGGAUGACUGCCCUACGGUUUGUAACCUUCUUUUAUAAAGGAAUAAAGUGAGGCACGUGUGCCUUCUUGUAUGCACUUUAUGAAUAAGGAUCGGCUAACUCAGUGCCAGCAGCCGCGGUACUACGGAGGAUCCGAGCGUUAUCCGGGUUUAUUGGGUUUAAAGGGAGCGUAGAUGGGUUGUUAAGUCAGUUGUGAAAGUUUGCGGCUCAACCGUAAAAAUGCAAGUGAUACUGGCAGUCUUGAGUACAGGUGAGGUAGGCGGAAUUCGUGGUGUAGCGGUGAAAUGCGUAGAUAUCACGAAGAACACCGAUUGCGAAGGCAGCUUACUAAACUGCCACUGACAUUGAUGCUCGAAAGUGUGGGUAUCAAACAGGAUUAGAUACCCCUGUAGUC